rnacentral:lncRNA from 1 species
ACCAUGACUACCUCUCACUGCAUGGCACUAGCAGCCUUCUAACUGGUCUCCUGGCCAAUCUGUUCUCUUCUCAGCAGCUGGCGACGGAAACAUAAACCCCAUUCUAUUACUCAUUUAAAAUCUUUCAUCAUUGUCCUCACCUGGGGUAAAACCACUCACAGGUGGAGAUGUGUGAAUGCAUGUGAGAACAGGUCAAAUCUAAGUUAUGUCUGUAGCUAGUUAACCGUGUAAUACUGAGGGUAGUCUCCUGCUGUUGAUAUUGUACUACACUUACAUAAGGUGUGACCUCUGGGGGGAGUAAGUGAAGGACUGAUGGAAAUCUAUGUGAUAGAAAUCUAUGUACUAAUUUUGCGAUUUCAUAGGAGUCUAUAAUUAGUUAAGAAUAACAGUUUUUAAAACAGCUGAUUGAAUAGAAAGAAACCCCUUCAUUAACUUCCCAUGACAGCAAAUCCAACUCCUUACCAUGGCCUGCAGAAAUUAUCAUGUACUGUGUGGACUCCUGCCAACCUCAUUUCCAGUCCUACCCAGUGUCAUUUGCAUAUCCCAGUUACUCUUCCCCAGCUACACUGGAUUCCUGGCAGUUCCUAAAACAACACAAAUGCCUUUCUGCUCCAGGACAUUUGUAUAUGCUGUCCCAUCUGUCUGGAGGGCGAUUCCCAGGGAUAGGUGUUCCUCAUUCUUUACAGAAGUCUCCUGACAACUGAUACAUUCUGGGACCCCACUGGGCUCUUAAUAGAACUGCUUGUGGUCUGUAAGAGGUGUUUUAGUAUUCAUUGGUACUUAUAUUCUAAUGAGAGCAAGAGAAAAUGAAC